rnacentral:rRNA from 1 species
UACGUAGGGUGCGAGCGUUAAUCGGAAUUCCUGGGCGUAAAGCGUGCGCAGGCGGUUCGUUGUGUCGGUGGUGAAAGCCCCGGGCUCAACCUGGGAAUGGCCAUGGAAACUGGCGAACUGGAGUGUGGCAGAGGGGGGUGGAAUUCCGCGUGUAGCAGUGAAAUGCGUAGAGAUGCGGAGGAACACCGAUGGCGAAGGCAGCCCCCUGGGCUAGCACUGACGCUCAGGCACGAAAGCGUGGGGAGCAAACAGG